CCAGCUCCAGUAGGAGGCAAAGAGCUAGACAGGUUGGGAAGGGCUGUUUGUUUGCUCAGGGUAGGCAAGAGCAAAGAAGUGGGGGGAUUUCAGCUCGUACAGUAGCCUUGGCCUCCAGGGGUGGACUGUGGGUCUGGCCCAGAGACGACAGGCUGACUCCAGGGGGGUUUCUGGAGGGCACAUGGGCCCUGCCUGACUUCUGCCUUUGCUGGGGAGGUGAUCUCACUCUUCAGUGUCUCAUCUACGACACAGGCCACCUGCCUCCUAUUCCCUCAAUUUACAAAGCACUUUUGCAAACAAGAUUCCCUACAAAUGUGAGGGGAUGUGGAGGGUCGUAUCACGGAGAAAACGGCUUGGUGUUUGCGGAGGAUCUGGCUUUGAGAGUGGGCCCCGGCUCCGACCAGGCAUAUCGUUCUCUGUGCAGGAAUGCAGCUGUAAUGUCAUGAGAGUACUCCUGCAGUCGUAGAGAGAGGUCCAAACGCAGAGAACUGAGACCUGGUGGAGCCCUGCCGCCUCCAACCACAUGAGUGGCCAUCUUGGAACCGAAUCGUCUAGCUGCAGUCAGGCCAUUCAGGUGACGACAUGCCUUCUACCAUGUGACGGCAACCUCAUUAGAGACCUUGAGCCAGAACCAUCCAGCUGAGCCACUCCUAGAUUCCUAAUCCUCAAUACCACCAGAGUUGCAGCAAUGGAGGGUUGGAGAUGAAGAGAAUUUCCUGGGAUUAUAAAGGAGAUAAGUGGCAAAGCAAAGAUUGGAAUUCAAACCUCUGAAGUCUGGCUUCUGUGCUUUUUCCCUUUAUGGCACCUUGCUUCUCCGGAAUGAAAAUACGGAUAUGGUGAUUAAGAGCUUACCAGCUUGCGGGACUCAAAACACACAUACCUGAUGAAGACAUCAAGGCCUGGAGAUGAAAGAGAAUUUACUGGGAUUAAAAGGCGGUUCUUAGGACUGCUGGGCACGUGCUGGGAUCCCACCUUCCGGCUCCCCUGUUGGUUGGGCGGGACUGAAAGACGAAUUUUGGCCAAUUAUUUGUGAGAAGUCACAGGGCACCACUUGGGGACUGGAGCAUUUCAUGGCUUGCAGUGAGACCCCGUCUUUUGUCUGCCGUCUGAUGACCAGAAAUGCUCAAGAUAGGACUGCUUCGUGAACCCGAUCUGUGGAUGACUAUGUGUGUGACCCUGGACAAGUUACUCGUGGUGUCAACCUCAACAUCAAAAUAGGAAAGACCUCCUCCUUCCUUGAUGAUAAGGAAUUGUGACAUCUUUAGUAAAGAGCUUUGUAGGAUUUCAGGCAUAUGAAACGUAAAGGCAGGAGAGGUGCUCCAUCACGGGAAAGGCCAAUUUCCUGACACAUGGACUCAGAGUGUAACGGUCAAGUGAAUUU